CUAAGUUUGAUGGCGACCGGCGCACGGGUGAGUAACACGUAUCCAACCUGCCGAUGACUCGGGGAUAGCCUUUCGAAAGAAAGAUUAAUACCCGAUGGCAUAGUUCUUCCGCAUGGUAGAACUAUUAAAGAUUUCGGUCAUCGAUGGGGAUGCGUUCCAUUAGGUUGUUGGCGGGGUAACGGCCCACCAAGCCUUCGAUGGAUAGGGGUUCUGAGAGGAAGGUCCCCCACAUUGGAACUGAGACACGGUCCAAACUCCUACGGGAGGCAGCAUG
rnacentral:rRNA from 1 species